rnacentral:rRNA from 1 species
GACGAACGCUGGCGGCGUGCCUAACACAUGCAAGUGGAGCGACGAAUCGGCUUCGGCCGGUGCAAAGCCGCGAACGGGUGAGUAACACGUGGGUUACCUGCCCUGAUGACCGGGACAACCCGUCGAAAGACGGGCUAAUACCGGAUGAGCCCUGGCAACAGGGGAAAGAUUUAUCGCUAAAAGAGGGGCCCGCGUCCGAUUAGGUAGUUGGUGGGGUAACGGCCUACCAAGCCGACGAUCGGUAGCUGGUCUGAGAGGAUGAUCAGCCACACUGGGACUGAGAAACGGCCCAGACUCCUACGGGAGGCAGCAGUGGGGAAUAUUGGACAAUGGGCGCAAGCCUGAUCCAGCAAUGCCGCGUGGAUGAUGAAGGCCUUAGGGUUGUAAAGUCCUUUCGGCGGGGACGAUGAUGACGGUACCCGCAGAAGAAGCCCCGGCUAACUUCGUGCCAGCCGCCGCCGUAAGAC